CCUACGGGAGGCUGCAGUGGGGAAUAUUGCACAAUGGGGGAAACCCUGAUGCAGCGACGCCGCGUGAGUGAAGAAGUAUCUCGGUACGUAAAGCUCUAUCAGCAGGGAAGAAAAUGCCGGUACCUGACUAAGAAGCCCCGGCUAACUACGUGCCAGCAGCCGCGGUAAUACGUAGGGGGCAAGCGUUAUCCGGAUUUACUGGGUGUAAAGGGAGCGUAGACGGCAGCACAAGUCUGGAGUGAAAUCCCGGGGCUUAACCCCGGAACUGCUUUGGAGACUGUUUGACUAGAGUGCUGGAGAGGUAAGUGGAAUUCCUAGUGUAGCGGUGAAAUGCGUAGAUAUUAGGAGGAACACCAGUGGCGAAGGCGGCUUACUGGACAGUAACUGACGUUGAGGCUCGAAAGCGUGGGGAGCAAACAGGAUUAGAUACCCUUGUAGUC
rnacentral:rRNA from 1 species